rnacentral:miRNA from 1 species
UCAACGUUUCAGUCCUAUAAGGACUUUCUUCAGGAUCAAAAGUAAAACUUUUUACUUUUGAUCCUGAAGAAAGUCCUUAUAGGACUGAAACUUU